UACAGAGGUCUCAAGCGUUGUUCGGAUUCAUUGGGCGUAAAGGGUGCGUAGGCGGCGCGGUAAGUCGGGUGUGAAAUCUCGGAGCUUAACUCCGAAACUGCAUUCGAUACUGCCGUGCUUGAGGACUGGAGAGGAGACUGGAAUUUACGGUGUAGCGGUGAAAUGCGUAGAUAUCGUAAGGAAGGCCGGUGGCGAAAGCGAGCCUCUGGACAGUUACUGACGCUGAUGCACGAAGGCCAAGGGGAGCAAACGGG
rnacentral:rRNA from 1 species